rnacentral:rRNA from 1 species
CAGCAGCCGCGGUAAAACGGAGGGGGCUAGCGUUGUUCGGAAUCACUGGGCGUAAAGCGUGCGUAGGCGGUUCGUUAAGUCUGUUGUGAAAGCCCCGGGCUCAACCUGGGAAUGGCAAUGGAUACUGGCGAGCUAGAGUGUGUCAGAGGAUGGUGGAAUUCCCGGUGUAGCGGUGAAAUGCGUAGAGAUCGGGAGGAACAUCAGUGGCGAAGGCGGCCAUCUGGGACAACACUGACGCUGAGGCACGAAAGCGUGGGGAGCAAACAGGAUUAGAUACCCCGGUAGUCCCUGUCUCUUAUAC